GCAAUGACAUGACCCUGUGAGUGAGGAGCUUGCUCAGCUUUGACUUCUGAGGCCCUCGUCAAGGAUAUUAAAAUCCUGCACAGCGUUGUCUUAUGGAUGGGGAUUACUUUAUGUAGAAGAAUUUGAAGACAGAUCUGUGGACAAGAAAAAUAUUUGGUGGUUUCCCUAAUCUCUGGAGUAAAAGGAUUGCCUCAUGCUGUGCCUCUAACCCUGGUGGAGCUCCUGGAAGUGCAGAUGUUAUUCAUAGUCGUAUAAAUAUCUGAUCCCUGGGAAUCUCCCUGAGCUCUCUGCUUCAGUGAUUUCCUUCACUGGUGAAUACAGAUGGAUUCUGGGUCACGCUCAAGGUACUGCUUUUAAAAUGGAGAUCUCAUUGUUCCCCUGCCAUUGACCUGCAUGUUUAUUGAAAGGAAUCUUCAAGAAAGAGUUUUUCUGACCCAUCUAUUACAUUUGUUGUCCCUGCUAAACCAGACUUUAUUGCUCCUAUUCGAUAAACGCAUCCACAAAUGUAUUUGCUCACUUACAACUUAACAGUUGAACACGUUGACAGUUAUCAUUUAGUGUUUCCUGAUAAAGUUCAGGAGGUCUCACCUCUCGUAAUAUAACCAUUGAUUCACACAACUACACAGUGUUACUUUUCAUAUUAUUUUACAUACUUGGUUUAAUAUUAGCAAGUAUUCUGUUGCCUCUUGAACACUAAACAGCUUUCUCAUUGAACUAUUUAUAAUGAUUUCUAAAUGUUUUACCUCAGAGACUCGAGGUAAUUCAGAGCCCUCAGUGUUCAUGGGAAGUUUAAAUUAGGCUUCUCAAUAUGCAUUACUUUGCACUUAUCUACACUAAAUUUAAUCUAUCAUCAUAUUACCCAAUCACCUGGGUUAAUUAGAUCCUUCUGGAUUUACUCAUAAUCGUGCAAGGUUUUUGCUAUAACCUAAAUCAUUUUUUGGCCAUCAGCAGAAAUUUAACAUCUCAGUUCCUAAGCCGUCGUCCAGGUCGCCAAUAUGUUUUGGCAGUCCUGAGGCUGCCAUCCACAUCUGGAGAACCCUUCAAAGAAGCUGCUUCUUUUGGAGAAAUGCGUGCUUUUCUGUCAAGUACCUUCAUCCACAUGUAUUUACAAGGAAGUAUAGCGCUAAAAUUCUACCAUGUCAUAAAAUAAAUUCUUAAUAUAUUUUUAAAGAAAUUUCAGAUUUGCGUUGAAAUAUCUUCUCUCAAGAAUAUUGUAUGCAUGUUAUGUGGGAAGAAAUAGAGACUUAAAGAAUAAGUCAGUUCCAAAUCUUCUCAUGUAGGUAAAAGUUUUAUGUCUCUACAGGGCCCAGGGGAAAGAAGGAGAAAAAUGAAGAUUUAAUGAGGGCCUGGUAGAAGUUUCUGUUAUCUGCUCGGGAAGAUGUAAUGAGCCUCACUGAAGUUGCUAGGCUUUACUUGACAUUCCUGUGUGGAUCUUCCAUAGUAACCUAGACACUGAGGACGACUUCAUCAUCCUGUGAUUACCAAAACCACAAACCUAGGUCAGAGGGGAACAACAGUUUAGAACAGACCAUUUAUUCCUACGACACAGAGUUAAAGCCUUCCUAACUGGAUAUGCCUUUUUCGUAGAUAUUACAUAUGAUGUUUUCAUAUGUGUUCCUUAACUUUUUGGAUGAAUUAUAUAGAAUGCGUAGAUGUGUAUAAAAUGAGAGUGUACUCUCAUUUCAUGAUGAAACAUUA
rnacentral:sRNA from 1 species